rnacentral:rRNA from 1 species
GGGUUGUGAGGUUAAGCGACUAAGCGUACACGGUGGAUGCCCUGGCAGUCAGAGGCGAUGAAGGACGUGCUAAUCUGCGAUAAGCGUCGGUGAGGUGAUAUGAACCGUUAUAACCGGCGAUUUCCGAAUGGGGAAACCCAGUGUGUUUCGACACACUAUCAUUAACUGAAUCCAUAGGUUAAUGAGGCGAACCGGGGGAACUGAAACAUCUAAGUACCCCGAGGAAAAGAAAUCAACCGAGAUUCCCCAGUAGCGGCGAGCGAACGGGGAGGAGCCCAGAGCCUGAAUCAGUGUGUGUGUUAGUGGAAGCGUCUGGAAAGGCGCGCGAUACAGGGUGACAGCCCCGUACACAAAAAUGCACAUAUUGUGAGCUCGAUGAGUAGGGCGGGACACGUGGUAUCCUGUCUGAAUAUGGGGGACCAUCCUCCAAGGCUAAAUACUCCUGACUGACCGAUAGUGAACCAGUACCGUGAGGGAAAGGCGAAAAGAACCCCGGCGAGGGGAGUGAAAAAGAACCUGAAACCGUGUACGUACAAGCAGUGGGAGCCUCUUAAUGGGGUGACUGCGUACCUUUUGUAUAAUGGGUCAGCGACUUAUAUUCUGUAGCAAGGUUAACCGAAUAGGGGAGCCGAAGGGAAACCGAGUCUUAACUGGGCGUUAAGUUGCAGGGUAUAGACCCGAAACCCGGUGAUCUAGCCAUGGGCAGGUUGAAGGUUGGGUAACACUAACUGGAGGACCGAACCGACUAAUGUUGAAAAAUUAGCGGAUGACUUGUGGCUGGGGGUGAAAGGCCAAUCAAACCGGGAGAUAGCUGGUUCUCCCCGAAAGCUAUUUAGGUAGCGCCUCGUGAAUUCAUCUCCGGGGGUAGAGCACUGUUUCGGCAAGGGGGUCAUCCCGACUUACCAACCCGAUGCAAACUGCGAAUACCGGAGAAUGUUAUCACGGGAGACACACGGCGGGUGCUAACGUCCGUCGUGAAGAGGGAAACAACCCAGACCGCCAGCUAAGGUCCCAAAGUCAUGGUUAAGUGGGAAACGAUGUGGGAAGGCCCAGACAGCCAGGAUGUUGGCUUAGAAGCAGCCAUCAUUUAAAGAAAGCGUAAUAGCUCACUGGUCGAGUCGGCCUGCGCGGAAGAUGUAACGGGGCUAAACCAUGCACCGAAGCUGCGGCAGCGACACUAUGUGUUGUUGGGUAGGGGAGCGUUCUGUAAGCCUGUGAAGGUGGCCUGUGAGGGUUGCUGGAGGUAUCAGAAGUGCGAAUGCUGACAUAAGUAACGAUAAAGCGGGUGAAAAGCCCGCUCGCCGGAAGACCAAGGGUUCCUGUCCAACGUUAAUCGGGGCAGGGUGAGUCGACCCCUAAGGCGAGGCCGAAAGGCGUAGUCGAUGGGAAACAGGUUAAUAUUCCUGUACUUGGUGUUACUGCGAAGGGGGACGGAGAAGGCUAUGUUGGCCGGGCGACGGUUGUCCCGGUUUAAGCGUGUAGGCUGGUUUUCCAGGCAAAUCCGGAAAAUCAAGGCUGAGGCGUGAUGACGAGGCACUACGGUGCUGAAGCGACAAAUGCCCUGCUUCCAGGAAAAGCCUCUAAGCAUCAGGUAACAUCAAAUCGUACCCCAAACCGACACAGGUGGUCAGGUAGAGAAUACCAAGGCGCUUGAGAGAACUCGGGUGAAGGAACUAGGCAAAAUGGUGCCGUAACUUCGGGAGAAGGCACGCUGAUAUGUAGGUGAAGCGACUUGCUCGUGGAGCUGAAAUCAGUCGAAGAUACCAGCUGGCUGCAACUGUUUAUUAAAAACACAGCACUGUGCAAACACGAAAGUGGACGUAUACGGUGUGACGCCUGCCCGGUGCCGGAAGGUUAAUUGAUGGGGUUAGCGGUAACGCGAAGCUCUUGAUCGAAGCCCCGGUAAACGGCGGCCGUAACUAUAACGGUCCUAAGGUAGCGAAAUUCCUUGUCGGGUAAGUUCCGACCUGCACGAAUGGCGUAAUGAUGGCCAGGCUGUCUCCACCCGAGACUCAGUGAAAUUGAACUCGCUGUGAAGAUGCAGUGUACCCGCGGCAAGACGGAAAGACCCCGUGAACCUUUACUAUAGCUUGACACUGAACAUUGAGCCUUGAUGUGUAGGAUAGGUGGGAGGCUUUGAAGUGUGGACGCCAGUCUGCAUGGAGCCGACCUUGAAAUACCACCCUUUAAUGUUUGAUGUUCUAACGUGGGCCCCUUACCGGGGUUGCGGACAGUGUCUGGUGGGUAGUUUGACUGGGGCGGUCUCCUCCUAAAGAGUAACGGAGGAGCACGAAGGUUGGCUAAUCCUGGUCGGACAUCAGGAGGUUAGUGCAAUGGCAUAAGCCAGCUUGACUGCGAGCGUGACGGCGCGAGCAGGUGCGAAAGCAGGUCAUAGUGAUCCGGUGGUUCUGAAUGGAAGGGCCAUCGCUCAACGGAUAAAAGGUACUCCGGGGAUAACAGGCUGAUACCGCCCAAGAGUUCAUAUCGACGGCGGUGUUUGGCACCUCGAUGUCGGCUCAUCACAUCCUGGGGCUGAAGUAGGUCCCAAGGGUAUGGCUGUUCGCCAUUUAAAGUGGUACGCGAGCUGGGUUUAGAACGUCGUGAGACAGUUCGGUCCCUAUCUGCCGUGGGCGCUGGAGAACUGAGGGGGGCUGCUCCUAGUACGAGAGGACCGGAGUGGACGCAUCACUGGUGUUCGGGUUGUCAUGCCAAUGGCACUGCCCGGUAGCUAAAUGCGGAAGAGAUAAGUGCUGAAAGCAUCUAAGCACGAAACUUGCCCCGAGAUGAGUUCUCCCUGACUCCUUGAGAGUCCUGAAGGAACGUUGAAGACGACGACGUUGAUAGGCCGGGUGUGUAAGCGCAGCGAUGCGUUGAGCUAACCGGUACUAAUGAACCGUGAGGCUUAACCUUACAACGCCGAAG